CAGCAGCCGCGGGAAUACGGAGGGUGCAAGCGUUAAUCGGAAUUACUGGGCGUAAAGCGCACGCAGGCGGUUUGUUAAGUCAGAUGUGAAAUCCCCGAGCUUAACUUGGGAACUGCAUUUGAAACUAGCAAGCUAGAGUCUUGUAGAGGGGGGUAGAAUUCCAGGUGUAGCGGUGAAAUGCGUAGAGAUCUGGAGGAAUACCGGUGGCGAAGGCGGCCCCCUGGACAAAGACUGACGCUCAGGUGCGAAAGCGUGGGGAGCAAACAGGAUUAGAUACCCGAGUAGUCCCUGUCUCUUAUAC
rnacentral:rRNA from 1 species